UGUAGUUCCUUGGUCUUUCUCUUUGUACAAUUAGUAGAGGAAAGUAUUACUAUUAGUUCCGCUCGUGCCAUUGUUUACACCACCACGGUAUGCACGAGGAGUCUACAAAGUAGUCGUGAAAACUAGCGUUCACGGACUGCCUGGCACUGUUGAUCUAAUACCUACGCUUUUGCAAUAAUUAUCGCGUCCGCACUUUGCAUUUGUUGAAUAAAAUGAAGCGAGAUUCGCUUGCAACGGUUUUCUUCUUGAACUUGGAGUCAUCGUUCACGCACAUAGCACAGGUCAGUGAACGUGUGGGCUUGUACUUGCAGCUAACUGCUGGUUCUGAGGCUGGAUUUCUGCUUGGCUCAAGCCGAGGUUCUCUUUACAUCCAGGAGUUGUACUAGCAUUCGCUACAAUGCCCGAGUUGCUAGCGGUUGUAUUCGCUAGAAUGCUGCUGACUUGCUAGCAGUUUUAUUCGCUAGAAUGCUACUGAGUAGCUAGCGGUUCAUACUGCGCCAGCUCUGGGAUGGACCAGGAACCUGCUAUUGACGUUCAGGCGUUUACGUUGACAUAGUCAGCCCUCACAUUCACUUUCCACUCAGUCAGUCUUUCACUGUUUCAUUUGCUGAUGACAAAUGGACUGUGGUUCCAGUGGCUUGUACAAGACACCAAAGUCAUAAUAUUAUGAUGAGUUCCCAAAGACGAAACAGUUCUGACAGUUCUGUCUGCAGAUUGAGUGACUGGCCAUUGCACGUGUUGGCUGCCGGUGACCGGAUAGUAAACGGAUACUCUGAGAAUCAGUAACGACUGUGCUGGCCGUGGCACAUCAUCUUCACCGACCCAGGGGCUGCUGCGUUCCGACAUGUCAUGGCAGCACCAUGGCUAUCAUUAUCAAUGACAGCAAAGCAACAUUGCCAACGGUGCCCGGAAGCAGUAGCAGUGCCCGGAAGCAGCAACAGUGCCCAGAAGCAGUAGCAGUGCCCGGAAGCAGCAACAGUGCCCGGAAGCAGUAGCAGCAAUUAUUAGUACAGCUGCAUGACCUAGCAGGAGGAGCAGUAGCAGCAGAUUUUUAUAAUCUGAUGUAUUCCUACACUCUAUUCCACCGUUGUAUACUGUUCAGGGGCCGAUGUGAGACUGACGUAUGCUCAGCAGUGCACUAGUGUAAGACAGCUGGAUCGGAAAUGCUGACUGCCGAUGUCAUUCUGCACCAUAGUACUACUGACUGUAGAUUCUCCUGGAUAUCCGAUAGUGAUACGCUGACUGAAAACAGGAAUUAGUCACACUCAGUGUUACUUGCACUAGCAGCAUACACACUAUGUCUAACGCUAGUAUAGACAUUAUCGGACAAACAGUCUCAUCAUGGUGAAUCUGCAUUGCAAGGUGAAUUGAAUGUGGUGAGGAAUGCUGAAACAUAAGAACCUGUGGGCAGCAGCAGUGGAAGCACCUGCACUACCAGCAACAGCACCAACAGCAGCACCACCACCAACAGCAGCACCACCAGCAGCAGCAGCACCACCAGCAGCAGCAGCACCACCACCAGCAUCACCACCAGCAUCACCACCAGCACCAGCACCAGCACCACCACUACGAGCAGCAGCACCACCACCACCAGCAGCAGCAGCAGCACCACCAUGAGCACCAGCAGGAAACAUGACCAGCACAAGCAGGACUGACUACCUUCAGUUCUGUUACCAUCAUUGAGUAUGAAAAGUGUCAUGGAUGCUAUGCUUGGUGCUCUGGAAGAUGUGCGUUGACAUUGAAACUUGAAAUGCCAGUCACAGUCCGAGUAACGUAUUUUCUAUUUUGCUGCUUGUUUGUGUUGCUCACAGUCAUUGUUCCUAUCGACAAUUAUUCCUACUCAAACUCAUUGUGAUGUCAUUAUGUCGUUGUGAUGGCAUUAUGUCGUUGUGAUGUCAUUAUGUCAUUAUGAUGUCAGUGUUGUGAUGCAAUAAAGUGGUGCUGGUUCUCUUU